rnacentral:rRNA from 1 species
UGGUUGAUCCCGCCAGACCUGACUGCUAUCGGAUUGAUACUAAGCCAUGCGAGUCUUUGUAGUAAUACAAGGCAGACGGCUCAGUAACGCGUAGUCAACCUACCCUAUGGACGGGAAUAAUCUCGGGAAACUGAGCAUAAUACCCGGCGUACCACCAUUCCUGGAAUGGUUGGUGGUUAAAAUGAUUCGUCGCCGUAGGAUGGGACUGCGACUUAUCAGCUUGUUGGUGAGGUAAAGGCCCACCAAGGCGAUUACAGGUACGGGCUCUGAGAGGAGAAGCCCGGAGAUGGGUACUGAGACACGGACCCAGGCCCUAUGGGGCGCAGCAGGCGAGAAAACUUUGCAAUGUGCGAAAGCACGACAAGGUUAAUCCGAGUGAUUUCUGCUAAAGGAAUCUUUUGCCAGUUCUAAAAAUACUAGUGAAUAAGGGGUGGGCAAGUUCUGGUGUCAGCCGCCGCGGUAAAACCAGCACCUCAAGUGGUCAGGAGGAUUAUUGGGCCUAAAGCAUCCGUAGCCUGCUCUGUAAGUUUUCGGUUAAAUCUAUAUGCUCAACGUAUAGGCUGCCGAAAAUACUGCAGUGCUAGGAAGUGGGAGAGGUAGACGGUACUUGAUAGGAAGGGGUAAAAUCCUUUGAUCUAUCGAUGACCACCUGUGGCGAAGGCGGUCUACCAGAACACGUUCGACGGUGAGGGAUGAAAGCUGGGGGAGCAAACCGGAUUAGAUACCCGGGUAGUCCCAGCUGUAAACGAUGCAGACUAGAUGAUGCAUUGGCAUAUAGCCAGUGCAGUGUCUCAGGGAAGCCGUUAAGUCUGCCGCCUGGGAAGUACGUACGCAAGUAUGAAACUUAAAGGAAUUGGCGGGGGAGCACCACAAGGGGUGAAGCCUGCGGUUCAAUUGGAGUCAACGCCGGA